rnacentral:misc_RNA from 1 species
AACGCACAUUGCGCCCCUUGGUAUUCCGGGGGGCAUGCCUGUUCGAGCGUCAUUACAACCCUCAAGCUCUGCUUGGUAUUGGGCCUCACCCGCUGGGUGUGCCCUAAAAUCAGUGGCGGUGCCAUCUGGCUCUAAGCGUAGUAACUUCUCUCGCUAUAGGGUCCUGUGGACGCUGGCCAGCAACCCCCAAUUUUCUAUGGUUGACCUCGGAUCAGGUAGGGAUACCCGCUGAACUUAA